AUGGCGGCAUGGGGCCCGGCAGCCACUGCGCCUCUGCUACUUGGGAGCCGCGGACUCCCUCUGUGGUACUGUGUACAGCAAAUGUUUGCCUCCCAGAUGGAGAGGGAGCUCAAAGUGACCCAGGUUCUCAAAGAAGUUUCCUCGAGCCACAGCUAUUCAAGUCACAGACAUCUCAGGAGGCUGCGGGGCAAUGUAUGAAGUUAAAAUCGAAUCAGAAAAAUUUAAAGAGGACUGUCCAGCAGCACCAGAUGGUCAAUCAGGCACUAAAAGAAGAGAUCAAGGGCACGCGCGGCCUUCGGACAGUCACCUCUGUCCCCAAG
rnacentral:lncRNA from 1 species